CACGUAGGGCGCAAGCGUUGUCCGGAAUUAUUGGGCGUAAAGAGCUCGUAGGCGGUCUGUUGCGUCUGCUGUGAAAACUCGGGGCUUAACCCCGAGCCUGCAGUGGAUACGGGCAGACUAGAGGUAGGUAGGGGAGAAUGGAAUUCCCGGUGUAGCGGUGAAAUGCGCAGAUAUCGGGAGGAACACCGGUGGCGAAGGCGGCAUCCUGGACCGGCAUUGACGCUGAGGCGCGAAAGCCAGGGGAGCAAACGGG
rnacentral:rRNA from 1 species